GAAAAUCCAACCUCUGAGGCAGCAGACAACAUUCAGAGGUCAGGCCUCACUCUUACCUCCCUUGCAGAGCAUCUCAGCCCAAUGUUUUGGAUGAUCCCAGUAGACUCAGCCAGGCUGGCACCCACCAGCUGAAGAGCAUAUGCUUUUUAACCAGUCAGUAGAAGCAGGAAAAUGGAUUCCUCCUGUAUCUGACAGCUUUACUGCCCUCCAGGUAAGACAAGGUGUGUGUGUGUGUGUGUGUUCAAAGCCCCUUCCCAGCCACAAAAUUAGUAGCUUUCUCUUUUCUCUCUCUCUCUUUUUUUUUUCCUCCACUAAAUAAAAUUUCUCAUACAGGGUUGCUGUGUUGCAGCACUUAAUGAGCAGAGUAACUCAUUUAAAUUAUUUGAGUAAGCACCUAUAAGAAUACCAGUACAAUACUGACCUAAAGAGGGAUGUUACAGAAAUGUUUGUGCAGGUUUCACAGCCCUGCUCCAGUCUGGGGAAACAUUGACACAGGGUAUAAAAGAGCAGCAAGUAAAUUAGUGACAAUUACUGAGAACUUAACAAAUAUUAUGCAAUAUUAUGUAAUAUUAACAUAAUUAACAAAUUAUGAAUUGCAAAUGAACCAAGUUAGCAAAUAGACUGAAGGGCCACCGGCUAUUAUAUGCCCACAUUAAUAAUUUGCUGAAUUAGUUGGAAAAUAAUAAUCACACAUUCAAAUAGAAACAUAAAGUUUGAUUGUAAAAUAGGACAAAAAGCGAAGUAGAUUUGUUGAAUGUAAAUUGUACCAUUUGACUUAAUUCCAGUUAGUGGUGAAACAGAGAUGUAAGGGAGGACAUUUUCUUAAUCUGUGUGCAAAUAUCAGAUGCCAUCAGAUGAAAAAUCCUUUUUGAAGAAAUUAAAUCUCUAUUCUUAUCCUGUGUUGCAGCAGCAUCCCGGUACUCAUACUUGCAGACAAGCAGGUCAUUCAUCCAGAAGCAAUCUUCAAACUGUGAAGCAUUAUCAAGUUGUCCAUUCACUUUGUUUCUUUUGCAGAUGAAUGAGCCCCGGCUACCUCUGGAGUAAUGUGGUGAUGAAACCCUUCAUCUGGUCUGUGCCUCUCAGCCACUCAGAGAUAAAUUGCACUGCCCCUCACCCAGCUACCCCAGGUUAGUCUGAUUUGCUGCAGGCUGCUGCAGCACAGAGGAUCAGAAACAAAAGGCUUUCCCAAACACCAUCCCUGAGACCCACAUCUGGACAGAGUCUGAGCAGGAAAGGGUUAUGAAAAACCUCACAACUCCAAUCCUGUGGCAAGACCCAUUUAUCCUCCUAACCAGGCAUACCUGUGCCUCCAGCCUCUUUCCUCCAGUGAUGAUCUAAUGAUUGAUAACACAAGUGUAAGGGUGGGGGGAAUGCAGUGAUGAGGAAGACAGCUUUUCAAGUAGCACCUCUCCUCCAGAGAGGUGAUUACACAUUCACCACAAAAUGAAUAAUGCUGCUUAUAAUGUGCUAAGGAACAUCAGGCACCACUCAGAUGCAUUACUCAUCUAUUUUUCCAGGUCAAAAUCAAUGUGAGGAAAAGUGAUGUGACAUGGGCAUUAUAGACUUUUUAACAAUACUGAUACAGAAGAAUUAUUAAUGACCCACCCAUUGACCUCGAAGGAGACUGGUGUUUGCUCGAUUUGAAUGUGCAAAAGGAGAUGGGCUGCAGGAGCUCAAAACACAUGUUUUCAGGAUCUGACCUGCCUUUUUUCUGGAAGUGUUUCCUCCUGUUGUAGUGGAAGGACAUCAGAAGCACACACCCUGACCAUCUAGAGCUGAGUGAUGUCAGGGGAGAGCUCUGUACAGGGAUCCACUGACCCAUCCCAGCUGCCACACAAGAAUCAUAAAAUCAUACUCAAAGGAGCCUAACACAUAAACAGGAAUUUCUACUUUUUAUCAAAAGACAGGUGUCCCAAGACCUGGCACAGUCAUGUAUUCAGUAUAUGACAUAAGAAUAAAAUGCCUAUAAAAUGAAACA
ensembl:lncRNA